UACGGAGGGUGCGAGCGUUGUCCGGAUUUAUUGGGUUUAAAGGGUGCGUAGGUGGCUUUAUAAGUCAGUGGUGAAAUACAGCCGCUCAACGGUUGAGGUGCCAUUGAUACUGUAGAGCUUGAAAUAAUUGGAGGCUGCCGGAAUGGAUGGUGUAGCGGUGAAAUGCAUAGAUAUCAUCCAGAACACCGAUUGCGAAGGCAGGUGGCUACGAUUUAUUUGACACUGAGGCACGAAAGCAUGGGGAGCAAACAGG
rnacentral:rRNA from 1 species